UACGGAGGGUGCAAGCGUUAAUCGGAAUUACUGGGCGUAAAGAGCACGUAGGCGGCGUAGUCAGUCUGAUGUGAAAGCCCUGGGCUUAACCUAGGAAUGGCAUUGGAUACUGCUAAGCUAGAGUGUGACAGAGGGUGGUGGAAUUCCCGGUGUAGCGGUGAAAUGCAUAGAGAUCGGGAGGAACAUCGAUGGCGAAGGCAGCCACCUGGGUCAACACUGACGCUGAGGUGCGAAAGCGUGGGGAGCAAACAGG
rnacentral:rRNA from 1 species